AAGGAAAGACAAAAACAAAAGUAGAAAA
rnacentral:sRNA from 1 species